AUUGAACGCUGGCGGCAGGCUUAACACAUGCAAGUCGAGCGAGCGGCGGACGGGUGAGGAAUGUCUGGGAAACUGCCUGAUGGAGGGGGAUAACUACUGGAAACGGUAGCUAAUACCGCAUACCCUCAGAUGUGCCCAGACUGGAUUAGCUAGUAGGUGGGGUAAUGGCUCACCUAGGCCCCGAUCCCUAGCUGGUCUGAUAGGAUGACCAGCAACACUGGAACCGAGACACGGUCCAGAGUCCGUCGUGAGGCAGCAUUGGGGAAUUUUGCACAAGGGGCGCAAGCCUGAUGCAGCCAUGCCGCGUGUGUGAAGAAGGCCGUCGGUUUGUAAAGCACUUUCAGCGAGGAGGCGGUACUCGCAGAAGAAGCACCGGCUAACUCCGUGCCAGCAGCCGCGGUAAUAC
rnacentral:rRNA from 1 species